rnacentral:rRNA from 1 species
ACGAACGCUGGCGGCGUGCUUAACACAUGCAAGUCGAACGGAAAGGCCCUGCUUUUGUGGGGUGCUCGAGUGGCGAACGGGUGAGUAACACGUGAGUAACCUGCCCUUGACUUUGGGAUAACUUCAGGAAACUGGGGCUAAUACCGGAUAGGAGCUCCUGCUGCAUGGUGGGGGUUGGAAAGUUUCGGCGGUUGGGGAUGGACUCGCGGCUUAUCAGCUUGUUGGUGGGGUAGUGGCUUACCAAGGCUUUGACGGGUAGCCGGCCUGAGAGGGUGACCGGCCACAUUGGGACGGAGAUACGGCCCAGACGCCUACGGGAGGCAGCAGUGGGGAAUAUUGCACAAUGGGCGGAAGCCUGAUGCAGCAACGCCGCGUGCGGGAUGACGGCCUUCGGGUUGUAAACCGCUUUCGCCUGUGACGAAGCGUGAGUGACGGUAAUGGGUAAAGAAGCACCGGCUAACUACGUG